CAGCCGCCACGGGAAUACGAAGGGGGCUAGCGUUGCUCGGAAUCACUGGGCGUAAAGGGUGCGUAGGCGGGUCUUUAAGUCAGGGGUGAAAUCCUGGAGCUCAACUCCAGAACUGCCUUUGAUACUGAAGAUCUUGAGUUCGGGGGAGGUGAGUGGAACUGCGAGUGUAGAGGUGAAAUUCGUAGAUAUUCGCAAGAACACCAGUGGCGAAGGCGGCUCACUGGCCCGAUACUGACGCUGAGGCACGAAAGCGUGGGGAGCAAACAGGAUUAGAUACCCCCGUAGUCCCUGUCUCUUAUAC
rnacentral:rRNA from 1 species